rnacentral:rRNA from 1 species
UACGUAGGGGGCAAGCGUUGUUCGGAAUUACUGGGCGUAAAGGGCGCGUAGGCGGCACAGCAAGUCGGGCGUGAAAGCCCGGGGCUCAACCCCGGAACAGCUUUCGAAACUGCUGAGCUAGAGUACAGAAGGGGCAACCGGAAUUCCCAGUGUAGCGGUGAAAUGCGUAGAUAUUGGGAAGAACACCUGAGGCGAAGGCGGGUUGCUGGGCUGACACUGACGCUGAGGCGCGAAAGCGUGGGGAGCAAACAGG